AUCUUUUUAUAGUACAUGAAUGACUGGGUGUUCACGCACGUGUGUGAGAUGUGCUACCCUUGAACCUUGUUACCAUAUCAGCACAUUACUGGCCCGACC